GGAACUCUGAUCCAGUGAAACCUGAAUCCACUCCUCUGGUGUCAACAGCCCAACCUCAGUCCGAAAGUCCCAAACCAACAGAUGAAAUUUGUGAGCCCGAGCCUGAGCGACUUUCCCUGGGCUCUGGGCGAACUGAGAGUGCAGACGCCAGUGAUACGGAAGAACCCACAGUAACGUCAAAAACAGGAAGCUGUGACACCUUAGCACAAUCGCCCCUCUCUGGCCUUCCCUCGCUCUCAGUUUCCUUCGCAGAGGAUCAACCCCAGUUGAGGGUAGAUAAAGUAGAAGGUGAUACGCCUGACAUUCAUGCAGAUCUGGGUACGGAGCAACCAAAGGACCUGUUGACAAAGGAGGCUGCCAAAAGUCCACCGGACAACAGUCGCUUCGAUUCAUCGGGCAACCUCAGCCCGGCCAGCUCACAGCUCAGCUCCGAGCCGGAGGAGCGGCGAGAUCCGGAGACCCGCCCCCCCGCCGUCCGGCGCCCCGCCCUCGGUAGCCAGAAGGCUACCUGGGAGGAUGCCGAAGAGGAGGCGGGGGAGCAGCAGGUGGAGAAAGAGCAGAACGCGCCACCGGAGCCCGGUUCAAACAAAGACUUGAAAGACUCUUUGGUCAUCUCGCCCCAGCCGACUGAGACCAAAGUCUGUUUCUUCGAGGACGGUCCUCCCCCCUGCUCUCCGUCCAAAGUGCGCUGGUUGAAAGCCUACAACAAAGUGAGAGUGCGGCUCCUUGAGAGCCGAGAUCAGGGUGGGGACCCCAGCAAGCACCCAUGGGCCAAGCCGGGGUGAGCGGACGCUCUUUGGUGUCAACUGUCUGUGUGUUUCCUUUAUUUAAAUACGAAUCCUUGCAUAUUGGUAUCUGUGUGUGUGUGUGUGUGUGUGUGUGUGUGUGUGUGUGUGUGUGUGUGCGCGUGCAGGGGAAACACGCCGUUUGGCAUCGACAGCAUGCCAGACCUCCGCAAGAGGAGACCCAUUCCUCUUGUUAGUGAAUUGGUGAGUCCACGUCACGCGAUGUCUGCCUCCUGACGCCAUGAACCACACUUUACCUGAUUUAAAAAAAAUAAGAGUUAAUGGGAGCAAGUGUGUUGUUGAAUAAACACCAAGUAAUAAAAGCAUAUAUCGAAGGUAUAUAUAUUAUAUCAUAUGAAGUGAUAUGAAAAGUUGUUUCUGAUUUAAUGAGGGGUUUUAUAUUCUAUGGUGUUAUCGGGGAAUUGAUCAUGCAUUCUUUAUGCAUAAUACAUUUAGAAUUCCCAUGAAUGCCUUUCAUCGACACACAAAUCCGACAGAUUCAGCAAGUUGAAGAAAACAGGAGAGUUAAAAUAACAUGGAGAUGUUUUUGCAGUGUUUGUGAUAAUUACCGUUAUUUUAUCUUUGCAAAUAAUAGCGUUAAGUUCCAUCAUAAAAAGAAAAGAAAAAAAGAAUCUAAAAUAUGUCAACAAACAUCAUCAGCAUUCAUCCACAAUGACUUUAUCUUUGAUGUAUUCAUUCACUAGGGACAAAAUGCACGUUGCCUCAAUGCACCCUGUUAGUCUUUCUUUCUGUCUGAGACUUUGUGCGUCCCCGACGUCCCUCACUGACCUCCCUCCACCUGCGAAAGGUCUCGCUAAGCAGCUGACACGUUGUCCCCUGCUCAUUCGAUCCUUUACCAAUGUUUACUCGCCGGCCACGUAAAUGUACCAUGUGCACAAUAAUGUGUUUGUUUGUCUCUAACCUUUUCUUUCUGUUUGUUCUCUCUCCUUGCACCUCGCUGGUCCUCAGGCUAUGGUGAGUAAAAGCAAAGGGGGGGAGUUCGGCUGCUGCGUUGUACCGAUGUGUUGUUGGGCUCCUUUGUGGAGUCUGUGAAAGCACACACGCACACUCCUUCCCGUCUCAUUGUUCUAUUUAACAGAAAUCACUUCAUAUUUUGGCGAAUGCUUUCAGCAGAUCAACGCUUUCCUUGAUUGGUGCCUUAGCAACAAGUCCUUUUAAUCAACGUCUUGCUGGAAUCAAGAGCUCCACUUUUGAACGCGACCUUCGUCCCCAAACAGGCAGACGUGGGGGUAAAUUGUGUGCUGAAGGUUCAUCUGCUGGUCUGAGAGGUUAAGAGAACCCCCAGGCGCUGAGAUGUGAGACCCUCGACGGGUCUGACUAAAGAGACCCUUGUCCUCUGAUGUGACGUGGGCGCUCUGUUACUCAUUAUUAUGCCCUUUAUUACAUUGAAGGGAUCAAAAGGCCGCACAUUACUGGAAGGAAACGUAUCUGCCGUGAAGGUUGGAGCACCUCUGAACAUAUUGGGUUUUGAUUAAAGUCAAAGCGCUGUAUGUUUCCUCAGCGUGCCACUAUUUUUAACACGUUGUCAUGGUUACACACAAGGUUAGUCAGCACUUUUGUGGCCAGCGUGUGAGUUUAGAGCCCUGAUUCUAUUUUCUCCUGCUGCUGCGAAUGUCAGAUUUAGACUUUCAGAUUUCAGCCGCUUCAGAACUCAUCGCAUCAGGGCACCACGUUUGCCCCCCUCAGCCCAACCCUGCUUCAUUGUAUUUAAAGUCUGCAUUUGUAAGGGCAAUAUGGACCCCGAAGCAAACGUCACAUUUCAAUUCAUUGUUACAGCAGCAACACAUUUGAGGCGAGAAAAAGCCAAAACAGAAACAUA
ensembl:lncRNA